CAAAUUCGGUAGCUUCAAAUGACAGAAAUGUAUUCUUUCAUGGUCCUGGAGGCUAGAAGUCACAAAUCAAGAUAUUAUCAAGUUCUGCUGUGAGUUCCUGCCUUGACAUACCUCGUGAUGGAGUAUAAACUAUCUGUAAGAUGAAAACAGAAGCAUCCUUUGUUUCACAAGUUGCUCUUUGAUCAUGAUUGUUACCACAGCAUCAACAAGCAAAUGCAUACAGUUUUGAUUCCACAGAAGUCCAACAUGGCAAAGAAACGACUACUCCUUUCCCCAGCUAUGUUGAAGUCACUGGCCCUCUGUCAGCUGCCUUAUAUGGAAUCAUCUUCCUGAACUAUACCUUAAAAGUACAUAAGAAGCAAACAUUUCAUGGAAU